UACAUGGGGGGCAAACGUUGCUCGGAAUUACUGGGCGUAAAGCGCAUGUAGGCGGCAGCGCAAGUCGGGCGUGAAAUCCCACGGCUCAACCGUGGAAGUGCACUCGAAACUGCGCAGCUAGAGUCCUGGAGAGGAAGGUGGAAUGCUUGGUGUAGAGGUGAAAUUCGUAGAUAUCAAGCGGAACACCGGUGGCGAAGGCGGCCUUCUGGACAGUGACUGACGCUGAGAUGCGAAAGCGUGGGGAGCAAACAGG
rnacentral:rRNA from 1 species